GGUAACCUGCCUUAUACAGGGGGAUAACAGUCAGAAAUGACUGCUAAUACCGCAUAAGCGCACAGAGCUGCAUGGCUCGGUGUGAAAAACUCCGGUGGUAUAAGAUGGACCCGCGUUGGAUUAGCUAGUUGGUGAGAUAACGGCCCACCAAGGCGACGAUCCAUAGCCGGCCUGAGAGGGUGAACGGCCACAUUGGGACUGAGACACGGCCCAGACUCCUACGGGAGGCAGCAGUGGGGAAUAUUGCACAAUGGGGGAAACCCUGAUGCAGCGACGCCGCGUGAAGGAAGAAGUAUCUCGGUAUGUAAACUUCUAUCAGCAGGGAAGAAUUAGGACGGUACCUGACUAAGAAGCCCCGGCUAACUACGUGCCAGCAGCCGCGGUAAUACGUAGGGGGCAAGCGUUAUCCGGAUUUACUGGGUGUAAAGGGAGCGUAGACGGAUGGACAAGUCUGAUGUGAAAGGCUGGGGCUCAACCCCGGGACUGCAUUGGAAACUGCCCGUCUUGAGUGCCGGAGAGGUAAGCGGAAUUCCUAGUGUAGCGGUGAAAUGCGU
rnacentral:rRNA from 1 species